GAUGAACGCUGGCGGCGUGCUUAACACAUGCAAGUCGAACGAUUAAAGCCCCUUCGGGGGUGUAUAGAGUGGCGAACGGGUGAGUAACACGUGGGCAAUCUGCCCCUCACUUCGGGAUAACUCAGAGAAAUUUGAGCUAAUACCGAAUACUCCGGUCGGACCGCAUGGUCUGAUCGGGAAAGCUCCGACGGUGAGGGAUGAGCCCGCGGCCCAUUAGUUUGUUGGUAGGGUAAUGGCCUACAAAGGCGACGAUGGGUAGCGGCGCGGAGAGGGGGAUCGGCAAAACGGGGACGGAGACACGGCCAAGACUCCUACGGGAGGCAGCGGUGGGGAAUUUUGCGCAAUGGGCGAAAGCCUGACGCAGCAACGCCGCGUGCGGGAUGAAGGCUCUCGGGUCGUAAACCGCUUUCAGCAGGGAUGAAAUUGACAGUACCUGCAGAAGAAGCCCCGGCUAAAUACGUGCCAGCCGCCGCCGUAACAC
rnacentral:rRNA from 1 species